rnacentral:rRNA from 1 species
GCCUAACACAUGCAAGUCGAACGAAGUAGCAAUACUUAGUGGCAGACGGGUGAGUAACAUGUAGGUAUCUGCCCUUUGGCCUGGAAUAACACGAGGAAACUUGUGCUAAUACCGGAUAAGUCUUUACGGAGAAAGCUUUAUGCACCAUUGGAUGAGCCUGCACUUGAUUAGUUUGUUGGUAGGGUAAUGGCCUACCAAGACUGUGAUCAAUAGCUGAUUUGAGAGGAUGAUCAGCCACAUUGGGACUGAGACACGGCCCAAACUCCUACGGGAGGCAGCAGUGGGGAAUCUUGCACAAUGGAGGAAACUCUGAUGCAGCGAUGCCGCGUGAGUGAAGAAGGCCCUUGGGUUGUAAAGCUCUUUCGUCGGGGAAGAAAAUG